rnacentral:rRNA from 1 species
GACGAACGCUGGCUGCGUGCUUAACACAUGCAAGUCGAACGCUGAAGCCAGAAGCUUGCUUCUGGUGGAUGAGUGGCGAACGGGUGAGUAACACGUGAGUAACCUGCCCCUGAUUUCGGGAUAAGCCUGGGAAACCUGGUCUAAUACCGGAUACGACCAUCCCUCGCAUGAGGGUUGGUGGAAAGUUUUUCGAUCGGGGAUGGGCUCGCGGCCUAUCAGCUUGUUGGUGGGUAAUGGCCUACCAAGGCGACGACGGGUAGCCGGCCUGAGAGGGCGACCGGCCACACUGGGACUGAGACACGGCCCAGACUCAUACGGGAGGCAGCAGUGGGGAAGAUUGCACAAUGGGGGAAACCCUGAUGCAGCGACGCAGCGUGCGGGAUGACGGCCUUCGGGUUGUAAACCGCUUUCAGCAGGGAAGAAGCGAAAGUGACGGUACCUGCAGAAGAAGUACCGGCUAACUACGUGCCAGCCGCCGCAGUAA